rnacentral:rRNA from 1 species
CGCUGGCGGCGUGCCUAACACAUGCAAGUCGAACGAGAAAGUCUCCGCAAGGGGAUGAGUAAAGUGGCGACCGGGUGAGUAACACGUAGCUAACCUACCCUCGAGUGGGGGAUAACCUGGGGAAACCUGGUCUAAUACCGUAUUACAUCCCGACGGCGCAAGCCGAUGGGAGCAAAGGCCCGCAAGGGCCGCUGGAGGAGGGGGCUGCGGCCGAUUAGCUAGUUGGUGAGGUAAUGGCCCACCAAGGCGAUGAUCGGUAGCCGCGCUGAGAGGGCGCACGGACACACUGGCACUGACACACGGCACAGUCUCCUACGGGAGGCAGCAGUGGGGAAUUGUGCACAAUCCCCGAAAGGGUGAUGCAGCAACGCCGCGUGAGGGAUGAAGGUCUUCGUGUCGUAAAACCUCUUUCGAUCGG